rnacentral:rRNA from 1 species
AUUGAACGCUGGCGGCAGGCCUAACACAUGCAAGUCGAGCGGAUGAAGGGAGCUUGCUCCUGGAUUCAGCGGCGGACGGGUGAGUAAUGCCUAGGAAUCUGCCUGGUAGUGGGGGAUAACGUCCGGAAACGGGCGCUAAUACCGCAUACGUCCUGAGGGAGAAAGUGGGGGAUCUUCGGACCUCACGCUAUCAGAUGAGCCUAGGUCGGAUUAGCUAGUUGGUGGGGUAAAGGCCUACCAAGACGACGAUCCGUAACUGGUCUGAGAGGAUGAUCAGUCACACUGGAACUGAGACACGGUCCAGACUCCUACGGGGGGCAGCAGUGGGGAAUAUUGGACAAUGGGCGAAAGCCUGAUCCAGCCAUGCCGCGUGUGUGAAGAAGGUCUUCGGAUUGUAAAGCACUUUAAGUUGGGAGGAAGGGCAGUAAGUUAAUACCUUGCUGUUUUGACGUUACCAACAGAAUAAGCACCGGCUAACUUCGUG